rnacentral:rRNA from 1 species
AGAGUUUGAUCCUGGCUCAGGAUGAACGCUGGCGGCGUGCCUAACACAUGCAAGUCGAACGAACCUAAUCGUUCGGAAAGGGUUAGUGGCGCACGGGUGAGUAACACGUAGGUGACCUGCCCUGGAUUGGGGGAUAACUUCUCGAAAGAGAGGCUAAUACCGCAUAUGCUCGGCCAUUCAGUUGGUCGAGUAAAGCUCCGGCGCUCCAGGAGGGGCCCGCGUCCGAUUAGCUAGUUGGUGGGGUAAUGGCUCACCAAGGCUAUGAUCGGUAGCUGGUCUGAGAGGACGAUCAGCCACACGGGAACUGAGAAACGGUCCCGACUCCUACGGGGGGCAGCAGUGAGGAAUAUUGGGCAAUGGGCGAAAGCCUGACCCAGCAACGCCGCGUGGAGGAUGAAGGCCUUCGGGUCGUAAACUCCUUUUACAGGGGAAGAGUGAGGACGGUACCCUGAGAAUAAGUCACGGCUAACUACGUG